rnacentral:rRNA from 1 species
AUGAUGCAACAAAUCUGGUCCGUUGAUCAAGCACAAGCUCUAGCCCUAAAGGCCGAGAGGUUUGUGAGGAUGAGAAAGACAACUAAGGCUCCAUAUCGUCCAUAUCCUCAUACCGAAGGCUCAUCUAGGAGCCAACCUAAUAGAGUGGAAGAAAAGACCACUCCACCAAAGACAAAACAGCCCAUCCCGAAGCAAACUAGAGGCAAGGGUAAGGCAAAUGAAGGUCCAAAGUGCUAUAAAUGUGGUAAAGAGGGACACAUAUCCAGCGGCUGCCCACUAAGGAAAUUUGUUAACACGACUAUCCAUGAUGGUGAAAGCGAUGAGGAAGAAUACGAAUCUGAAGAUGUAGACGGACAAGAGGUUUGUCAAGAAGAAGGUGAAGAGGUGGUAUGUGUGAUCCAGCGUGUCCUAUGUUCCACACCACAACUCGAUGACACACAACGGAAGAAAAUAUUUGAGAGCAAAUGCACGGUGAAUGGCAAGGUAUGCAAACUAGUGAUUGAUAGUUGCAGCUGCGAGAAUCUUAUCUCCCAGAAGUUGGUGGACCAUUUAAAGCUUGAAACCCAUGAUCAUCCAAAUCCCUACACUAUUGGAUGGAUCAAUAAAGGAGUGAAUAUGAGGAUCACCAAACAAUGCAACCUGCCACUUUCUUUGGGUAAGCAUUAUCGCUCAAAUGUGUUGUGUGAUGUGGUUGACAUGGAUGCCAGCCAUGUUCUUCUUGGGAGGCCUUGGCAAUUUGAUGUGGAUACUACACACAAGGGCAAGGAAAAUUCUUACUCUUUCAUUUGGAACAAGAGAAGGAUCAUUAUCUUACCAAACAAACCUGAAGGUAAUACCUCUAAGGAGGAGGGAAAAACUAUGUUAACUAUCUCCCAUACCUCUCAUGAGUUUAUGGAAGACUUGAAGGAGGCAGAUUUGUGUGCUGCACUUGUUGUAAAGGGAGAAGAGCACCUGACUGUUGAAAUUCCAGCAAAGGUACGUGGUUUAUUGGCAGAAUUUCAGAACAUACUUGGGGAGCCACAUGGCUUGCCACCGAUGAGAGGAAUUCAACAUAGAAUUGACUUAAUUUCGGGAGCAAGUCUUCCUAAUCUUCCACACUAUCGAAUGAGCCCAAAGGAGCAUGGUAUAUUGAAGGAGAAAGUGGAGGAAUUGUUGCAAAAGGGGCACAUUCGAGAAAGUAUUAGCCCAUGUGCUGUACCAGCCCUACUCGCGCCAUAG